GACGAACGCUGGCGGCGUGCUUAACACAUGCAAGUCGAACGGAAAGGCCCUGCUUUUGUGGGGUGCUCGAGUGGCGAACGGGUGAGUAACACGUGAGUAACCUGCCCUUGACUUUGGGAUAACUUCAGGAAACUGGGGCUAAUACCGGAUAGGAGCUCCUGCUGCAUGGUGGGGGUUGGAAAGUUUCGGCGGUUGGGGAUGGACGCGCGGCUUAUCAGCUUGUUGGUGGGGUAGUGGCUUACCAAGGCUUUGACGGGUAGCCGGCCUGAGAGGGUGACCGGCCACAUUGGGACUGAGAUACGGCCCAGACUCCUACGGGAGGCAGCAGUGGGGAAUAUUGCACAAUGGGCGGAAGCCUGAUGCAGCAACGCCGCGUGCGGGAUGACGGCCUUCGGGUUGUAAACCGCUUUCGCCUGUGGCGAAGCGUGAGUGACGGUAAUGGGUAAAGAAGCACCGGCUAACUACGUG
rnacentral:rRNA from 1 species